rnacentral:lncRNA from 1 species
GCAUGCGCGUCACUAGACGACACGGCUGUCUUCUUUCCUGGAGAAUUUCUCAAGGACUGCUGGCUGGAAACUUAACGGCUAAUGUGGAUCUGACCGUAGUUUGCCAAAUUAAGAAAACGUUUUUACCCUGUUGAAGAUUUGCUUUAACUUCAAAAGUGAUGACAAGAAAGUAUGGACACCCCUUCAGGACCAACCUGAUAAGUCACUGGUAAGGUCUUAAUUUCUCCAUAAAGCUUCCUAAUAUUUUCUAGUAUUAAGGUCUUCAUAUCCCGUAACCCGCUUUGCAUCACCUGCAGAAAUCCUAGGCUUAGCUGUUUGGUAGCAUCUGGCUGUGUCAUUUGUUCUAUUAUUUUUCGCAGGCUCCCACCUAGAGUCCUGUUAUAGUGAAGGCUGGCUUCCACUAGUUUCCAUUAUUGCUUAUGGGUCUGUCCCUUUCCUCCAGAAAAGUCCUAUCUUUUUAAAGAUGUAAUGUCAGAUGAAGCUUAUGAGCCAACCACAGGCCAUUUUUUUAAUCGACAUCUCCUGAAGGAAAUUUUCUGCCUUAGCUGGCCUGACUUACUUGUAUUUUGUGGCAGAAUCCAGUCUUUCUAGGAAUCAUCCAGUUUUAAAAAUCAUCUCAGUGGUUGUAGAGCUGACAGCAGAAUUCUCUCUACCUAUUUUCUCCGCCAUGGAGAAAGCAUUCCCAGCAUCAUUUAUACAAAUGCUAUGCACAUUUCCACUUCCCAGCAAUACUCAUCCAGCAGUUUAGAUGCCAUGGGAGGGUACUCCAUAGUUCAGUUCUAUGGUAUGCUUUGAUACGGGCAUGGCUGGACACUGCACAUUGUUCAGCAAUUCCAAAUGGUAGUCUUUAGUAAGAGAAAAAACAUAAUUAGAGUCACUUAACAUAUUAUGUGGCAGCGGGGGGUGGGGAAAUAUCCUUUAAGAAGUAGCUUUCACAUACAAAUGGAGUCCAAAAUAGUGAACUUUUCCCAUUGGAUAUUUAUAUGAAUACAACCAUGGAUUAAAUGCCAAUAGGAGAAAGUGUUUUAGAGACAUGCUUAAAAUCUGGAGAAAGAAAACAAAAAACAAAAAAAACUCCUGCAGCCAGCUCAGUGUCUGCCCAAACAGCCACCCAGUUUUGUGCUUGAAACCCAGGGCCCUGGUGGCGUAGGCACUGGAGGGAAUCUCCUGGUCAGUGGGUUGUGAAGACCGUGGGAAAAGCAUAGUAUCUGGGCUAGAAUGCACCAUUCUUCAUGGCACAGUCCCUCACGGCUUCCCUUGGCUACCAGAGGGAGUUCCUCGACCCCUUGCACUUCCCGGGUGAGGUGAUGCCCCACCCUGCUUCUGCUUGCCCUUCGUGGCUGCACCCACUGUCUAAUCAGUCCCGAUGAGAUGAGCUGGGUACCUCAGUUGGAAAUGGAGAAAUCACCCACCUUCUACAUUGAACUUGCUGAAUGCUGCAGAGAGCUGUUCCUAUUGGGCCAUCUUGACUAAUUGCAAGAAUAUUUUUAAGAGCCUUUCCAGGGCUUCUUGCUUUCUCUAGGCAGACUCUCAGAAGCUCUGUCCCAGACACAUUAAAGCAGUAAUAAGCAACUUAAUAUCUUAAUCCUGCCCUGAGAAAGGUACUUCAUACUUUAUAGAGUUUUGAGGCACUAAGAAUCAACAAAGGGGAAAAAAGUUCCUUAUCCUAAUUGAGUGGCCUAGGAAACAACAUGUAGUAUUAUGACUAUGUGUUUUAAUUCUGUCAAUUAGAACUCAAAAUUUUCUUUUUAGUCAGAUCAGUUCUAUAGUUUUGAUAAAUAUCACAAAACAGAAAUGAGAGUACAAUGCAUUUACUCAUGGGUGCUUAGACAUCAGAAGUCUCAUUAUUUUCUUUGCCCUCUUUCCUAGCUGUUAAUAUAAUGCUAAGAUUAAGUUGACACAUUGACUAGACUGUGAUCUCUCUUUGCCCUCUGCUUUAUUUAAAGAUUUUCCUUUGGCGAGCAGUUAUAUAUCAGGCACUCCCCAAACCCAACAUCAGAGACACUCAAAAUUGCCGUGAAUAUUCUAGUAGCAAUCUCAAAAGUUUUAAGUUCUUUUGUAUAUAGAUAGACUUGACACAUUCUCUCAAAGCAUAUACUGUUUCUGGCUUUUCACUGUCUACAAUGCCAGUGCCGGUAUUGACUGUAAGAGCUUCCCAUGGCAUGAAUAAACAGUGAAAAGGUCCAACAGAGCUUAAAGGUAUAUAGAAAAAAUAAUAGAAAGUUAAAAAAAGAUUAAAGAAAACAAUGAGUAUAUUUGUAGAAAUAAGUGAGGUUAGUUCUAUUUGAUUUGUAGUGGCAACCAUAGUCAAUUUUUUUUUUUUUUUCUUGAGAGGGAGUCUCGCUCUGUCACCCAGGCUGGAGUACAGUGGUGCAAUCUUGGCUCACUGCAAGCUCCGCCUCACAAGUUCAUGUCAUUCUCCUGCCUCAGCCUCCUGAGUAGCUGGGACUACAGGCGCCCGCCACCACGCCCGGCUAGUUUUUUGUAUUUUUAGUAGAGACGGGGUUUCACCGUGUUAGCUGGGAUGGUCUUGAUCUCCUGACCUCAUGAUACACCCGCCUCGGCCUCCCAAAGUGCUGGGAUUACAGGCUUGAGCCACCAUGCCCGGCCUAUAGUCAAAUUUUUUAAUAAAAUUGCUAACCUACACUUAGUAUAUCCAAUAACGAAUGCACUAUUUUGAUUUUCAAUUCUGAUUUUAUGCAUGUUUGAGUAAUCGAUGCAUACAUAUGUAAUAUUUUAAUGUUAGUAAUGAUAAAGAACAACUACAAUUUAUUUAAAUAAUGCUUCAGGUACUUUUUCUAUUCAAGUUAUUUACUUAAUCCAAAGGGAAUAAAUUUUUUGAAAAUGUAGUAAUAGUGAUCCUGGAAAAAUGUCAUGUUCUAUUUAUAUGCCUACAGUAUUUACUCCAUUUCUAUCUCUUCCCUUUGAUCUGUUUGAUGGCUAUGCCUGCCUUAUAUUUCUAAGAAUUUUUUUUCAAACAAUUUUUAGUGGGUUGUGGUGUUCAUCUCCGUUUCUUACUGUACAAAUACUUUUCUGUUAAAUUUAAAGGUUACUCUCUAAAGCUUAGUAGGUGUGCUUUCAUUUUCACACUGAUAACUAAAAUCCACAUCAUUACUAAUCAUAGACAUGCAUAUGUGUUGAUUAUAAAGUGAUAUUGUACAUACCACAAAAUCAGAGAUACAAAAAUAAUCUUUUGUUCUUUUUAAAAAACUUAAUGUAGAAAUAUCAUAAAAUGAAGUUAAAUUGAGUAAAUCUUAAGACAUCACUUAGUCAAGCUCCUUGCAUCAAAUCAAGCCCAUGAUUAUAUAAGUGUAUAGAAAAGCCCACAAAAAAUUAAAAAGAAAGCUUUUCAGUGGAAAACCUGACAGACACCUUAUCCAAAAGAUCAAAGUUUUAACAUCACCAGUAAUAGAACAAAUAGGUUUCAUGUGUCUUCUGAUGUAAUGCACUAAGGAGUGAGCACUAUCACUCCUGAGGCAUUUUUGCCAAAAACAUAUAAACGGGAAUAAAUCAUGAAGAAAUAUCAGACAAACCCAAAUUAAGGGACAUUAUGCAACAUAAAUGGCCUGUACUUUUCAAAAUGUCUAGGUCAUGAAAGAAAAGGACUAAGAAACUGCCCAGAUUAAAGGAAACCAGAGACUUGACAACUAAAUGCCACAUGUAAUCAUGGAUUAGAUACUGGAGCAGAAAUAACAAUACUAAUAAAUAAUUACUGUUACUGCUGUAAAGAACAUUAUUGAGACAAUUAGCAAAAUUUGAAUGGGGCUUGUGAAUUACAAAGCAGUAUCAUAUCAAAACUGAUUUUCUGUUUUUGAUUGUUAUAAUGUGGUUAUGUAGAAAAGUAUUAUAUUUUUGAAAAUGUACAUUGUAGUAUAUGGGAGUAAAAAGGAUCAUGUUGGAAAUUUAUUCUCAAACGGUUUACAAAACAGUAUGUAUGUGUGUGUGUGUUUGUGUGUGUACAUACACACACAUUGUGUAAAGUAAACAAGAUAAAAUUUUAAUAUUUGGUGAAUAGAGGUGAAAGAUAUAUAGUAAAUUUUGUACAGUGUUUGCAACUUUUCUGAAGUCAGAAAUUAGUUCAAAUUUUUUUUAAAUAUUGCUUUGGCUUCCUAUUUUACCUGUAGUUAACUGUGUCAAAAAUAUGCUAAUUAUGUUAUCAACACCCAGGGUUUUUGUAAUCUCGCAAUAUUGAAAUCAAGAGACAUCACAGAACACAGCAGCAAAGGUAAGUUUUGUUUUUUUUUUUUGAGGCGGAGUCUCGCGGUAGCCCAGGCUGGAAUGCAGUGGCGCGAUCUCGGCUCACUGCAGGCUCCGCCCCUCUGGGGUUCACGCCAUUCUCCUGCCUCAGCCUCGCGAGUAGCUGGGACUACAGGCGCCCGCCACCUCGCCUGGCUAAUUUUUUGUAUUUUUGGUAGAGACGGGGUUUCACCGUGUUAGCCAGGAUGGUCUUGAUCUCCUGACCUCGUGAUCCGCCCGCCUCGGCCUCCCAAAGUGCUGGGAUUACAGGCGUGAGCCACCGCGCCCCGGCAGCAAAGGUAAGUUUAAUUUUAUUCCAGCUUGUGCUCAAGGGAGCUAGCACUGAGAAAGGAAAAAGGAGUUGGCUGUUCCCUGAGGGUAGUGUGUGGGUUAAUUUAAUAGGCUCUUUUCAUAGGGAAAGGUUAUAUUAGGGCAUAUAUAGGACAGCUUUUUCUAGUGCUUGCACAGUAGCUCAACAUGCUUCUCCAUACAUUACAUGUAGCAUUAGCAUUUAAAAUCUCCACCCUUGUGUGUGAAUUUUAGCAUUAAAAUGAGGAAGAGAUAACUUUAGGUUGGAUUUUUUUUUUUUUUUUUUUUUUUGCAGAUGGAGUCUUGCUCUGUCACCCAGGCUGGAGUGCAGUGGUGCGAUCUCAGCUCACUGCAGCCUCCGCCUCCCGGGUUCAAGUGAUUCUCCUGCCUCAUCCUCCUGAGUAGCUGGGAUUAUAGGCAUGCGCCACCACACCCGGCUAAUUUUUGUAUUUUUAUUAGAGACGGGGUUUCACCAAGUUGGUCAGGCUGUUCUCGAACUCCUGACUUCGUGAUCUGUCUUCCUUGCUCUCCCAGCGUGCUGGGAUUACAGGUGUGAGCCACUGUGCCCGGCCACUUUAGGUUGGAUUUAAAGUCCAACUGCACGUGCAAGGCUCUGGGGAAAUCCCUACCCCGCUGAAAUAGGAGCUUGCUGUUAAGUUUCUUGGGUCUCUUGUCACUGAUUGGCUGAAAGUUAAAUAAGCUAGUGUUUGAGUGAGGGGCUUUAUCGUUUCCUUUAGACCAUCUUAAAAUAGGGACUCAACCAGCCUGCUUGUCUUAAUCAUAUAAAUUUAUUUAAAAUUAUCUUAAUAAACCAGAACGUGGAGACUAUUUUUUUAAAAGAAUUAUUUGUCGAAGUAUUACAUUUUUAGUAAGUUAUCUCUUUUUCUUCUGUAGCUUCCUCAUUUUUAAAUUUAAACCAGACAAAAAGUUUCAGUAUACAGCAUAAAGAACAUUUGAUGAAAAUUUGAUGGAAGUAAUUUAAACAACUAUAAAUACAUUAAUUUAUAUCAAUUUUUGAUUAUGGGAGAGUAAUAAUCCUUUAUUACAAGUUGAAACAUCCCCUGAAUACAUUAGAAUGAAUGCUACUGAAAACAGAAAUAAUUUUUACAAUUAUCUGCCACAUAUCAUAAUGCCUCAGACAAAUUUUGUGUAUGCAUAUAGAAGAUGAAAAAUUAUUUCCUAAUACACUCCUAGGUUUUCUGGUUAGAGUCCUCUAAAUUAAAUUGACAAAAGGCAGAAAAAUAAGGGGAAAAAAACACAAAAGUUUAUUAACAUAUGCAUUGUGCAUGUAACAUAUACCCAGAGAUGAGUAACUCAAAGGUUUGGUUAGAACUUGGACUUAUAUAGGAUUUCAGCAAAGAAACAAUUUUUAGAAAAAUGACAAGAGUCUCUAGGAGUGGCAGAUUGUGCGAAGGCAAAUAUAUGGGAAACUAGGUAAAUAAAGGCUAGUUUGCAAAGUUUGUUAUAUACAGUCCUCUGAUUCUGUCUGCAGGCUGUAAGGGUCUAAAGCUGUCUCUGGUAAUUAAGUUUUGUCCUUCCUUGUAGAAAGCGGGGGACAACUUUGUAAAUUUAUGUCCUGCUUUUAGAUGACAGAAGAACAGAGAGCUUUUCUUGUAUCUUUUUCUUCUCAAUUGCCUUCAGCACAAAGUAAUCCUUGUGCCAAAGUGGAAAAGUUUGCUGUGGCAUAUUCUGCCACCCUACCAUAGCUAGGAUAGAAUACAUCUGUACGUGAAGGUCUUUGAGGGCAGAGGCCAGAUUAAUUUGUAGAGUUUUACUGCCAUCACCUAACCUAGUGCUUGACAUGGAGAAGGGGCUUGGUAAACAAUUGAAUGAAUUAAUGAAUUUGGUUGUGCCUUCCAUAUUUUCCGCACAACACUCUUGAAGU